rnacentral:rRNA from 1 species
AUUGAACGCUGGCGGCAGGCCUAACACAUGCAAGUCGAACGGUAGCACAGAGAGCUUGCUCUCGGGUGACGAGUGGCGGACGGGUGAGUAAUGUCUGGGAAACUGCCCGAUGGAGGGGGAUAACUACUGGAAACGGUAGCUAAUACCGCAUAACGUCGCAAGACCAAAGUGGGGGACCUUCGGGCCUCACACCAUCGGAUGUGCCCAGAUGGGAUUAGCUAGUAGGUGGGGUAAUGGCUCACCUAGGCGACGAUCCCUAGCUGGUCUGAGAGGAUGCCCAGCCACACUGGAACUGAGACACGGUCCAGACUCCUACGGGAGGCAGCAGUGGGGAAUAUUGCACAAUGGGCGCAAGCCUGAUGCAGCCAUGCCGCGUGUAUGAAGAAGGCCUUCGGGUUGUAAAGUACUUUCAGCGGGGAGGAAGGCGGUGAAGUUAAUAGCUUCACCGAUUGACGUUACCCGCAGAAGAAGCACCGGCUAACUCCGUGCCAGCAGCCGCAGUAA